rnacentral:rRNA from 1 species
CCUACGGGAGGCAGCAGUGGGGAAUAUUGGACAAUGGGCGCAAGCCUGAUCCAGCAAUGCCGCGUGAGUGAUGAAGGCCUUAGGGUCGUAAAGCUCUUUUACCAGGGAUGAUAAUGACAGUACCUGGAGAAUAAGCUCCGGCUAACUCCGUGCCAGCAGCCGCGGUAAUACGGAGGGAGCUAGCGUUGUUCGGAAUUACUGGGCGUAAAGCGUACGUAGGCGGUUAUUCAAGUCAGAGGUGAAAGCCCGGGGCUCAACCCCGGAACGGCCUUUGAAACUAGGUAGCUAGAAUCUUGGAGAGGUCAGUGGAAUUCCGAGUGUAGAGGUGAAAUUCGUAGAUAUUCGGAAGAACACCAGUGGCGAAGGCGACUGACUGGACAAGUAUUGACGCUGAGGUACGAAAGCGUGGGGAGCAAACAGGAUUAGAUACCCUGGUAGUCCACGCCGUAAACGAUGAUAACUAGCUGUUCGGGCACUUGGUGCUUGAGUGNGCAGCACNCAUAUAUCGCNGGNGUGNGNGAGAUAAAGUAAAGAAGUAGAGNGUGAGAGNGCGAGACGACGACGAGGAGAGG